rnacentral:rRNA from 2 species
GAGUUUGAUCAUGGCUCAGAUUGAACGCUGGCGGCAUGCCUUACACAUGCAAGUCGAACGGCAGCACGGGAGCUUGCUCCUGGGUGGCGAGUGGCGAACGGGUGAGUAAUGCAUCGGAACGUAUCCUGGAGUGGGGGAUAACGUAGCGAAAGUUACGCUAAUACCGCAUAUUCUGUGAGCAGGAAAGCGGGGGACCUUCGGGCCUCGCGCUCUUGGAGCGGCCGAUGUCGGAUUAGCUAGUUGGUGAGGUAAAGGCUCACCAAGGCGACGAUCCGUAGCAGGUCUGAGAGGAUGAUCUGCCACACUGGAACUGAGACACGGUCCAGACUCCUACGGGAGGCAGCAGUGGGAAUUUUGGACAAUGGGGGCAACCCUGAUCCAGCCAUGCCGCGUGAGUGAAGAAGGCCUCGG